rnacentral:SRP_RNA from 1 species
UCGUGCUAGACGGGGAGCUAGCGGUGCCCUGUACCUGCAAUCCGCUAUAGCAGGGUUGAAUCCCUACCUGCGGUCCUAUCUUUUUAGGUUCAGGCUCAGAUAAGUGGUGUUGAGAGUCGGGUCCUGCGUCGGGAAGGUUUAUAAACCCCGACAGGUCCGGAAGGAAGCAUCGGUAAGUAAAUUCUUCCUCGGUCGUAGUCAACCUGAGAGGAGCUAACUGUUUGAGUCUUCCUGGGAAAGAUAAGAUCAAAGGUAGGUGCACGA